GAUGAAGAACGAAGCGAAAUGCGAUAAGUAAUGUGAAUUGCAGAAUUCAGUGAAUCAUCGAAUCUUUGAACGCACCUUGCACCCUUUGGCAUUCUGAAGGGUAUGCUCGUUUGAGUGUCAUUGUACUCUCACACUCCCGAUCCUUGCAUUGGGAGCAGUGGACUUGGGUUUGCUGCUUCACCGUCGCUUACCUCAAAUAGGUUAGUGCAACUCUUGGUUGGACAUAGUACGGCGUGAUAAGUGUUCUUCGCCGGUGGCUCGCAAAGAGGGUGGCCGAUCGGGAUGUUGUGCUCCAAACCGUCUUCGGACAAUCUCUGACGACUUGACCUCAAAUCGAGUAAGACUACCCGCUGAACUUAAGCAUAUCAAUAAGCGGAGGA
rnacentral:misc_RNA from 1 species